rnacentral:rRNA from 1 species
UGGGGAAUCUUCCGCAAUGGACGAAAGUCUGACGGAGCAACGCCGCGUGAGUGAAGAAGGUUUUCGGAUCGUAAAACUCUGUCUUUUGGGGCGAACGUGAGUAUGGUGAACAAUCAUAGUCAGUGACGGUACCAAAGGAGGAAGCCACGGCUAACUACGUGCCAGCAGCCGCGGUAAUACGUAGGUGGCAAGCGUUGUCCGGAAUUAUUGGGCGUAAAGAGCGCGUAGGCGGGAUAGUCAGUCUGUUGUAAAGUGCGGGGCUCAACCCCGUGAUCGCAAUGGAAACAGCUAUUCUUGAGUGCAGGAGAGGAAAGUGGAAUUCCCAGUGUAGCGGUGAAAUGCGUAGAUAUUGGGAGGAACACCAGUGGCGAAGGCGACUUUCUGGACUGUGUCUGACGCUGAGGCGCGAAAGCCAGGGGGAGCGAACGGGAUUAGAUACCCCGGUAGUCCUGGCCGUAAACGAUGGGUACUAGGUGUGGGAGGUAUCGACCCCCUUUCCGUGCCGGAGUUAACGCAAUAAGUACCCCCGCCUGGGGAGUACGAUCGCAAGACUGAAACUCAAAGGAAUUGACGGGGGUCAUAGCUGUUUCCUG